UACAGAGGUCUCAAGCGUUGUUCGGAUUCAUUGGGCGUAAAGGGUGCGUAGGCGGCGCGGUAAGUCUGAUGUGAAAGCCCUGGGCUCAACUCAGGAACUGCAUUGGAUACUGACGGACUGGAGUACCGGAGAGGGAAGCGGAAUUCCUGGUGUAGCGGUGAAAUGCGUAGAUAUCGAGAGGAACACCUGCGGCGAAGGCGGGUUGCUGGGCAGUUGCUGACACUGAGGCGCGACAGCGUGGGGAGCAAACAGG
rnacentral:rRNA from 1 species